GUCGUGCCAAUUUUGGAAAAAAAGGCGCUCGUUCUUAAAAUAUUUUCAAAUCUUGGAGUUGCCAGGAAAUUGUAAACAAAAGAAAAAUUCCAAACUUAAUUUUUUGAUUCAAACCAUUCACUCACACUCUCUCAGUCCGUAGAGCAGCACCAUUGGCUUCACUGGGAAGAUCUUGAAUAAAAAGCAAAAGCUCUUGAAUUUUUCUGAUAAGAUCUCCAUCUUUAAUACUCUCCGGCGGAAGAAAAAAUGGAAGCCAUCACAGAGAAUGUUGCAGCUGCUGGAUCCACCACCAAAGAAGAAAUUCAUUGGAAAGAGGGGAGAGGGAAAAAAAUGGAAGAAGAAAAGUAAAGAGGGAGACGCGAAGCAGAGAACGCGGGGGAGGAGGGAGCUCCUCUACUGCCACAACUGCCACAACCACCUGUUAUUUGCUGUGGUCACCGCCGGAUAGAAAACCCUAAAGAGUUAAGUAUUUCAUCUUCACACCAGUGGAUUUUGGAAUUUACGUAUCACAUUUAUGCUUUCGAUUUUUAUUUUUGAACUAUUUUGACCACUUCAAGAAUGUUGGAAUGCUUUUUCUCUGUGCCAUCUCCGCUGCCGUCUCUGGGUUCUCUAUGUUGGAAAAGGAAUUGGAAAAGGGAUUCAAGGCCUGUUUGCUGUGAUAUCAGUCUUUAAUAAAUUAAUUUUUUCUUGGAUAUGAGUGUUCCAUCUACUAUAGUACCAUGCUGAUUUUGGCACCAUUAACAAGAACAAGGUCCUACAACUUCGUGGAUCAGCCACACGCUACUCUUUAUUAUUCUCAGAGAACAAUGAAAGGUGGCUUUUUGUUGGGGAAGCCUCCGGGGUAUCAGAAACUGCACAAGGGUAUUAUAAAAUUGUAGAUUCUUUCGAUAACUAUGCCACUAUACUGUAAAAGUUGCCGGGAGAAGGCAUAAAUUUUGAGCCUAAUAAAGCUCUGAAUUUCUUUCAAAUGCUACAAUUGAGGUGGAUGAGGAAGCUAUGGACCUGAACAAGGAACUUAUAAACAAAUUACUUGAGCUUGAUGAUGCUGAUGCUGUUUAUACAGGUCAUAAA